GUUUCUGUGGUGUGGUGGUCAUCACGUUCGCCUAACACGCGAAAGGUCCCUGGUUGGAAACCGGCUGGAAACA